CAUGGCCAGGAGGAGCUCGCUCUCCCUGCACUGCAGCUCCAGGGCUGGAGGAGUUCUGUGCCCCUGAUGAUUACUGGAUGGGGGGAGAGUGCCUUUGCUUCCCCCCCCCCCUGUUAUGCAAGCCCCUGUGGCUGAUAAGACCAUACAAUUUUCCUGUGUUUUUGUCAGCAGCGAGGUUGCAAGUGAGAGUCAGCACCAGAGAGAGAAGCUGAAUUUUCCAUCUUUGCUCUUCUUUUCUUUCCCCUUUUGUGUGUGUUUGCUUGUUUUGUGCUCUAGAAUACAGGACUGGACUUUAACAACAGCAAUGACAACAGCUGGAGCCCAUCUCAAUCAACUUCUCUUUUUUCCAAAAGCGGUAUCUAGAGACUCCUGCCACAAUUGGGGCCAUAUCGUGCUAGGUGAUGUAUAAGCACAUAAUAAGAGACAGUCCCUACCUCAAAUUGUCUAAAAUGACCAACUUGCCUUUCUGACUCUUCACUCUGACAACCCAUACUAAAUCACCAAAUUGCUUAUGGGAACUGGAGUCUAUAUAUUAAUAGGUUGUUCCGUUUUAUUUUCUGCAGAAGGGAGCUGUAUUUGCAAUAGCUUUCCUUCACUCAAAACCCUUUGUCAAAAGAAGAACAGCAAGCUGCAUCUUUAUAUAUGAAAGACAUUCUGUUAAAUUGGUGAGACUAUAAUUGUUUCGACGGAAGCAAAAGUUGGCUACAUGAUUACAGUAUUAGGGCUCAAUACGUGAAUACACAGAACAAAUGGCUCCCUAACUUAGCAGCCAAAGCUCCUACUCCAUGCCUGUUUCUUAAGACCCAUUCCCAGACUUAAAUGCCACCUGCCUAAAUGUUGGACCAAGCCUCCUAUGGAAGAACUCAGUCUCCUGACUUGAAAUGUCUGUUUGCAAUGAGCCCAGUCCUGAUGAUCUUACUCAAGCAAAACUCCCAUUGAAGACAUUUGGGACAAAUACAUCUCUGGUGUAACCUGGCAUGGAGAAAAUGGACUAACACCAGAUAUGCUUACUGCCAUUAUCGAUGCUAGGAAAAAAAAAAAAAACCCUGAACCUGUAAUGAGCUCAUAUUGAGUGAAUUCCUGCACACACACAAAGAGCUCAACUGUUUUAGCAAGGGUCCUUGCAAGUACAAGGUGCACCCAUUAAUUAGGGCCAGCUUCAUUAGUAAAAUGAACUUCUAAAGAGCAUCAAAUGGCAGCAGUUUUGUGCUUCCAGUCCAAAUAUCCUGCAAGGGGGUGGAUGAAAGAUUAGAGCAUUUCCACACUUCUGGAAGCAUAUUUUAUUAAACAGAAGCCUCAGGUGUUCAGUAAGUUAAGACAUUUCAUAUAUUAUAAUUGCACACAAACUGAGAAAAUACUGCCAUUGGAAUAUCAUAGGAGUUCAAAAACAAAAUUUUUAAGGGUGUCAUUUAACAAGCAUUUUAUGAGCACAUCCCUAUACUAAUUCCUGGACAAAAAUAUGAACAUAACACUUAAAAUGAUUCCAGUAUGAAUGGUGAAAGACCAUUUUGCUCCUUGCAGAUCAUAAAGCAAUCGUGUCCUAGAUUUCAUUAGCACAAUGCAACCAAAAAAGAAUAUGCACAUUGUAUGUUAUUCAAAGCACCCCUCCAAAAUCAAUAGACUAUAAGCCAAAUAAUCAUGCCUUUUUAUUUAUUUAAUCACUUUUGGUCAGAAUUACAUUUUCUCUCAGAGCAUAGCAGAACACAAGCCAUAUUGAUAACUCAUUGUAAACAUUUUACCAUGGCUUUAUAUAAAUAAAUUGCAGUGCUGUUACAAUGUCUUUAUUGCUGUUCUACUAUGAAGACUCCAGCAUGGAAGAAACAGUUAACAAUAUAUUAGUGUCUACAUAUGUUGUUAAGUCAUCAGAAAGCUGAACAUACAGACAUGCUGGAUUAAGUAAAAGUGAGGCAUCGCCAAAGGCCAAAUUCUUAAGUCCUUUCUCUGAAGUCAAUGGAAUGACAUCAGCAACUUGUUUGCAUAGCUUAGUUUAUGCAAAAAUGUGUCUGUAGUAGUGUUAGUUUUUUACUGGUUUAUAGUAAAUUCUUUAUUCAUUCUUGCUUGAAGAGGUAUAUUGUUAGAAUUUACAAUUUUAUGCUACCUGCAUACCUUUCAUUUCCAGGGAUGUCACUGAUUUUAGUCUCAAAGCUACCAAUGUUCCCCACAUAUCUGAUGUCUGUGCUUUUAUUGUUGAAAAUGAUUUACAUCAGAAAUAAAGAAUCA